GCUUAACACUUGCAGUCGAACGAUGAUGCCCAGCUUGCUGGGUGGAUUAGUGGCGAACGGGUGAGUAACACGUGAGUAACCUGCCCUUGACUUCGGGAUAACUCCGGGAAACCGGGGCUAAUACCGGAUAUGAGCCGCCUUCGCAUGGGGGUGGUUGGAAAGUUUUUCGGUCAGGGAUGGGCUCGCGGCCUAUCAGCUUGUUGGUGGGGUGAUGGCCUACCAAGGCGACGACGGGUAGCCGGCCUGAGAGGGCGACCGGCCACACUGGGACUGAGACACGGCCCAGACUCCUACGGGAGGCAGCAGUGGGGAAUAUUGCACAAUGGGCGAAAGCCUGAUGCAGCGACGCCGCGUGAGGGAUGAAGGCCUUCGGGUUGUAAACCUCUUUCAGCAGGGAAGAAGCGCAAGUGACGGUACCUGCAGAAGAAGCGCCGGCUAACUACGUGCCAGCAGCCGCGGUAAUACGUAGGGCGCAAGCGUUGUCCGGAAUUAUUGGGCGUAAAGAGCUCGUAGGCGGUUUGUCGCGUCUGGUGUGAAAACUCGAGGCUCAACCUCGAGCUUGCAUCGGGUACGGGCAGACUAGAGUGCGGUAGGGGAGACUGGAAUUCCUGGUGUAGCGGUGGAAUGCGCAGAUAUCAGGAGGAACACCGAUGGCGAAGGCAGGUCUCUGGGCCGCAACUGACGCUGAGGAGCGAAAGCAUGGGGAGCGAACAGGAUUAGAUACCCUGGUAGUCCAUGCCGUAAACGUUGGGCACUAGGUGUGGGGCUCAUUCCACGAGUUCCGUGCCGCAGCAAACGCAUUAAGUGCCCCGCCUGGGGAGUACGGCCGCAAGGCUAAAACUCAAAGGAAUUGACGGGGGCCCGCACAAGCGGCGGAGCAUGCGGAUUAAUUCGAUGCAACGCGAAGAACCUUACCAAGGCUUGACAUGCACGGGAAAGCCACCAGAGAUGGUGGUCUCUUUGGACACUCGUGCACAGGUGUGCAUGGUUGUCGUCAGCUCGUGUCGUGAGAUGUUGGGUUAAGUUCGCA
rnacentral:rRNA from 1 species